rnacentral:tRNA from 1 species
GGGCGUGUAGCUCAGCUGGGAGAGCACCUGCUUUGCAAGCAGGCGGAAAUUCAAUCUAAGUCGU